GGACGGGUUCCCGAGCGGCCAAAGGGAGCGGACUGUAAAUCCGUUGUCACAGACUACGAUGGUUCGAAUCCAUCCCCGUCCACCA
rnacentral:tRNA from 3 species